AUUGAACGCUGGCGGCAGGCCUAACACAUGCAAGUCGGGCGGCAGCGGAAAGUAGCUUGCUACUUUGCCGGCGAGCGGCGGACGGGUGAGUAAUGUCUGGGAAACUGCCUGAUGGAGGGGGAUAACUACUGGAAACGGUAGCUAAUACCGCAUAACGUCGCAAGACCAAAGAGGGGGACCUUCGGGCCUCUUGCCAUCAGAUGUGCCCAGAUGGGAUUAGCUAGUAGGUGGGUAACGGCUCACCUAGGCGACGAUCCCUAGCUGGUCUGAGAGGAUGACCAGCCACACUGGAACUGAGACACGGUCCAGACUCCUACGGGAGGCAGCAGUGGGGAAUAUUGCACAAUGGGCGCAAGCCUGAUGCAGCCAUGCCGCGUGUAUGAAGAAGGCCUUCGGGUUGUAAAGUACUUUCAGCGGGGAGGAAGGCGUUGAGGUUAAUAACCUCAGCGAUUGACGUUACCCGCAGAGGAAGCACCGGCUAACUCCGUGCCAGCCGCCGCAGUAA
rnacentral:rRNA from 1 species